UGGCAAGAAACUCACAUGACCUGCUGCCAACUUUAAUAAAAAUAUAUUAUCUUCUCAUACAUCGUUUUGCUAUUGAUAUCAUAUUAAAUAGCAAUCAAAUUGAUUACUAUUUUGAAAAUGUAUAAAUGAAGAUUCAUAUUGUCUUGAGUGCUGUUUUUAAUAUAAAAAGAAUGUUGAGUUUUCAGAGUCUUUAUUGUCAUUUUUUUGUGAUAGGACCCUACCAGACUAUAUUUGAAUACGGCAUACCCAUGAAUUCUGGAACUGUUAUUUCUUAACCCAGUUUGGAGGAUAAGAGCUUACCAACUAGUUAUAAAUAUGCUGAGGUGAUGUAUUGCAAAAUAGCCAACAUACAACAAUUAAAGGAUAAUUGCAGACUAUAUCCUGAUGAAGAUAUGGAUGACCCUCUGUCUGGUCAACAGGAGUUUAAAUAUGGAUGGGACAGUGAUGUGGCAGCUCUUCCCUGGCUCAUUCACUUCUUGCCUUCAUUUGUGAAAGGAAGAAAGACUGGAGAGGGUCAAUGUGCAACUGAAGCUACUGAUUGUGCUGUGUGAUGAGCAUCAAUCCAUGCUUUGAGGGGGAUGAAUCAGCACAGCCCUGCCUGCUCUGCGUUGGGAACAGAAGUUGCAUCCAGAAUUUUUGCAUC